GACGAACGCUGGCGGCGUGCCUAAUACAUGCAAGUUGAGCGAUGAAGAUUGGUGCUUGCACCAAUUUGAAGAGCAGCGAACGGGUGAGUAACGCGUGGGGAAUCUGCCUUUGAGCGGGGGACAACAUUUGGAAACGAAUGCUAAUACCGCAUAACAACUUUAAACAUAAGUUUUAAGUUUGAAAGAUGCAAUUGCAUCACUCAAAGAUGAUCCCGCGUUGUAUUAGCUAGUUGGUGAGGUAAAGGCUCACCAAGGCGAGGAUACAUAGCCGACCUGAGAGGGUGAUCGGCCACAUUGGGACUGAGACACGGCCCAAACUCCUACGGGAGGCAGCAGUAGGGAAUCUUCGGCAAUAGACGAAAGUCUGACCGAGCAACGCCGCGUGAGUGAAGAAGGUUUUCGGAUCGUAAAACUCUGUUGGUAGAGAAGAACGUUGGUGAGAGUGGAAAGCUCAUCAAGUGACGGUAACUACCCAGAAAGGGACGGCUAACUACGUG
rnacentral:rRNA from 1 species